rnacentral:misc_RNA from 1 species
GAGAGAGAGAGAGAGAGGUUUCUGAAAAACAGAACCAAAAAAAUUCUCUUUUAUUGUUUUUAGAAACCCAAAGACAAAUAAACCAUAAUGAUACCUGAUGAGGCCAAAGGUAGCCUUAGGCUACUCAAGUUCAUUUUCAGUCUUAAAUAUUUAAGCGGGAUUAGAUUUUCUGUAAACAUAUCAGGGGUACUGUCAAUAACAUAAAACAUAUCAGGAUUACUGUUAAUGACAUUUUUCUUUCUCAGCAACAUAGCCUUGUUUCAGGAAUAUCAAAAGUUAAUGCAUAAAAACCCGAACAGAAAAUUACCUUAGAGUUGAUAGGU